GACGAACGCUGGCGGCGUGCUUAACACAUGCAAGUCGAACGGACAGGCCCUGCUUGCAGGGUACUCGAGUGGCGAACGGGUGAGUAACACGUGGGUGAUCUGCCCUGCACUUCGGGUUAAGUCUGGGCAACUGGGUCUAAUUCCGGACAGGAGCCAUUUUUAGUGUGAUGGUUGGAAAGUUUUGUCGGUGUAGGAUGAGCUUGAGGCGUAUCGGCUUGUCGGUGGGGUAAUGGCCUACCAAGGCGGCGACGGGUAGCCGGCCUGCGAGGGUGGCCGGCCACAUAGAGACUGAGGUGCGGCCCAGGCUCCGACGGGAGGCAGCAGUGGGAAAGAUUGCACAAGGAGCGCAAGCCUGAUGCAGCGGCGCCGCGUGUGGGAUGACGGCCUUCGGGGCGUAAACUCCCUUCGCUAGGGACGAAGCUUGUUGUGACGGUACCUAGAUAGAAAGCACCGGCUAACUACGUG
rnacentral:rRNA from 1 species